UUACACAAAUAUGAAGGCGGGCUGGAACCUCUCGGGGUUACAGCCUUGCUGAAUUAUUCACCCUUGUCUUUUGCGUACUUCUUGUUUCCUUGGUGGGUUCGCCCACCACUAGGACAAACAUAAACCUUUUGUAAUUGCAAUCAGCGUCAGUAACAAAUUAAUAAUUACAACUUUCAACAACGGAUCUCUUGGUUCUGGCAUCGAUGAAGAACGCAGCGAAAUGCGAUAAGUAGUGUGAAUUGCAGAAUUCAGUGAAUCAUCGAAUCUUUGAACGCACAUUGCGCCCUUUGGUAUUCCAAAGGGCAUGCCUGUUCGAGCGUCAUUUGUACCCUCAAGCUUUGCUUGGUGUUGGGCGUCUUGUCUCUAGCUUUGCUGGAGACUCGCCUUAAAGUAAUUGGCAGCCGGCCUACUGGUUUCGGAGCGCAGCACAAGUCGCACUCUCUAUCAGCAAAGGUCUAGCAUCCAUUAAGCCUUUUUUCAACUUUUGACCUCGGAUCAGGUAGGGAUACCCGCUGAAC
rnacentral:rRNA from 1 species